UCCUAAGGAGGACCUGCCCGGUGGACAAACCGGAGGAAGGUGGGGAGUGACGUCAAGUCAUCAUGGCCCUUACGGCCUGGGCUACACACGUGCUACAAUGGUCGGUACAAAGGGUUGCCAAGCCGCGAGGUGGAGCUAAUCCCAUAAAACCGAUCGUAGUCCGGAUCGCAGUCUGCAACUCGACUGCGUGAAGUCGGAAUCGCUAGUAAUCGUGAAUCAGAAUGUCACGGUGAAUACGUUCCCGGGCCUU
rnacentral:rRNA from 1 species